CCUACGGGAGGCAGCAGUGGGGGAUAUUGCGCAAUGGGCGAAAGCCUGACGCAGCGACGCCGCGUGGGUGAUGAAGGCCUUCGGGUCGUAAAGCCCUGUCGAGGGGAACGAAACGGUCUCGACCCAAUACGUCGAGGCCCUGACGGUACCCCUAAAGGAAGCACCGGCUAACUCCGUGCCAGCAGCCGCGGUAAUACGGAGGGUGCAAGCGUUGUUCGGAAUCACUGGGCGUAAAGGGCGUGUAGGCGGUCCGCUAAGUCUGAUGUGAAAGCCCGGGGCUCACCCCCGGAAGGGCAUUGGAAACUGGCGGACUCGAGUCCCGGAGAGGAAGGUGGAAUUCCUGGUGUAGCGGUGAAAUGCGUAGAUAUCAGGAGGAAUACCGGUGGCGAAGGCGGCCUUCUGGACGGUGACUGACGCUGAGACGCGAAAGCGUGGGGAGCAAACAGGAUUAGAUACCCUGGUAGUCCACGCUGUAAACGAUGAGCACUAGGUGUCGUGGGUAUUGACCCCCGCGGUGCCGACGCUAACGCAUUAAGUGCUCCGCCUGGGGACUACGGCCGCAAGGUUAAAACUCAAAGGAAUUGACGG
rnacentral:rRNA from 1 species